AGAAUGAAUGGCCUCUGCCUACAAGAUUGUUAUCCAACUGGUGAGGUAAAUUAUACGUGUGCUCAAAGUUAAAAUCUACCCAAGAGAUGUCAUCAGACAAUAAAUGAUUUCCACUCUUUGCGAGUCUCCCCAUGGCUCAUGGUGACAUAAGAAUGGGAUAUGUGCUACAGGAGACACAUUCAUGCAGAAGGAAGACCAUUUGAAGACAUCGGGAGAAGAUGGCCAUCUAUACGCCAGUGAGAAAGGCCUCAGAAGAAACCAAUCCUGCCCACGCCUUGACCUCAGACGUCUAGCCUGCAAAAUUGU